CCUACGGGGGGCAGCAGUGAGGAAUAUUGGUCAAUGGACGGAAGUCUGAACCAGCCAUGCCGCGUGCAGGAAGACGGCCCUAUGAGUUGUAAACUGCUUUUGUACAAGGGUAAACCUGAAUACGUGUAUUCCGCUGAAUGUACUGUACGAAUAAGGAUCGGCUAACUCCGUGCCAGCAGCCGCGGUAAUACGGAGGAUCCAAGCGUUAUCCGGAUUUAUUGGGUUUAAAGGGUGCGUAGGCGGGUCGUUAAGUCAGUGGUCAAAUUGCGGGGCUCAACCCCUGCCUGCCAUUGAUACUGGCGUUCUGGAGUGGACGAGAAGUAUGCGGAAUGCGUGGUGUAGCGGUGAAAUGCAUAGAUAUCACGCAGAACCCCGAUUGCGAAGGCAGCAUGCCGGAUUCCGACUGACGCUGAAGCACGAAAGCGUGGGGAUCGAACAGGAUUAGAUACCCCUGUAGUC
rnacentral:rRNA from 1 species